CUGCUGCCUCCCGUAGGAGUCUGGUCCGUGUCUCAGUACCAGUGUGGGGGACCUUCCUCUCAGAACCCCUACGCAUCGUCGCCUUGGUGGGCCGUUACCCCGCCAACAAGCUAAUGCGACGCAUGACCAUCCGUAGCCGGAAUCGCUUCCUUUAAACCCACAGAGAUGCCUCCAUGGGUUGUUACGCGGUAUUAGACGGAAUUUCUUCCGCUUAUCCCCCUGCAUAGGGCAGGUUCCAUACGUGUUACUCACCCGUGCGCCGGUCG
rnacentral:rRNA from 1 species